GCUCACUUCUCUUCCUGUCAGC
rnacentral:miRNA from 1 species